rnacentral:rRNA from 1 species
AGAAUGAACGCUGGCGGCGUGCCUAACACAUGCAAGUCGUACGAGAAAGGGGCUUCGGCCCUGAGUAGAGUGGCGCACGGGUGAGUAACGCGUGGGUAAUCUGCCCUUGGAUUUGGAAUAACUCCGCGAAAGUGGAGCUAAUACCGGAUAGUCUGGCUUUUUAACGAAGUCGGUAAAGGAUGCCUCUGCAUAUGCAUUCGUCCGAGGAUGAGCCCGCGUCUCAUUAGCUAGUUGGUAGGGUAAUGGCCUACCAAGGCAACGAUGAGUAGCUGGUCUGAGAGGAUGAUCAGCCACACUGGAACUGAAACACGGUCCAGACUCCUACGGGAGGCAGCAGUGGGGAAUAUUGCGCAAUGGGCGAAAGCCUGACGCAGCAACGCCGUGUGAGGGAUGAAGGCUUUCGGGUCGUAAACCUCUGUCAGAAGGGAAGAACGGGCAUUGGUCUAAUAGGCCUUUGUUUUGACGGUACCUUCAGAGGAAGCACCGGCUAACUCC